rnacentral:rRNA from 1 species
UACGAAGGGGGCUAGCGUUGUUCGGAAUUACUGGGCGUAAAGCGCACGUAGGCGGAUCGAUCAGUCAGGGGUGAAAUCCUGGAGCUCAACUCCAGAACUGCCUUUGAUACUGAGGAGCUUGAGUCCGGGAGAGGUGAGUGGAACUGCGAGUGUAGAGGUGAAAUUCGUAGAUAUUCGGAAGAACACCAGUGGCGAAGGCGGCUCACUGGACCGGCAUUGACGCUGAGGUGCGAAAGCGUGGGGAGCAACAGG